rnacentral:rRNA from 1 species
GAUGAACGCUGGCGGCGUGCUUAACACAUGCAAGUCGAACGGGAAACCUUUUAUUGAAGCUUCGGCAGAUUUCGCUGGUUUCUAGUGGCGGACGGGUGAGUAACGCGUGGGUAACCUGCCUUAUACAGGGGGAUAACAACCAGAAAUGGUUGCUAAUACCGCAUAAGCGCACAGGACCGCAUGGUCCGGUGUGAAAAACUCCGGUGGUAUAAGAUGGACCCGCGUUGGAUUAGCUAGUUGGCAGGGUAACGGCCUACCAAGGCGACGAUCCAUAGCCGGCCUGAGAGGGGGAACGGCCACAUUGGGACUGAGACACGGCCCAGACUCCUACGGGAGGCAGCAGUGGGGAAUAUUGCACAAUGGGGGAAACCCUGAUGCAGCGACGCCGCGUGAAGGAAGAAGUAUCUCGGUAUGUAAACUUCUAUCAGCAGGGAAGAUAGUGACGGUACCUGACUAAGAAGCCCCGGCUAACUACGUG